GAGUGCCCCGAGCGUUAUCCGGAAUUAUUGGGCGUAAAGGGUCCGCAGGCGGUUGUAUUAGUCUUUUGUUAAAUCUCCCGGCUUAACCGGGAACCAGCAAAAGAAACGGUACAACUAGAGGAUGUGAGAGGUGUACGGAACUCAUGGUGUAGGGGUGAAAUCCGUUGAUAUCAUGGGGGACACCGAAAGCGAAGGCAGUACACUGGCACAUUCCUGACGCUCAGGGACGAAAGCGUGGGUAGCGAAUGGGAUUAGAUACCCCAGUAGUCCACGCCCUAAACGUUCUUCUCUAGCCUCUCGGAGUAUCGACCCCUCUGAGAGGCGAAGCUAACGCGUUAAGAGAAGCGCCUGGGGAGUACGAGCGCAAGCUUA
rnacentral:rRNA from 1 species